AUCGGUCAUAGCAACUGACGUCGUCAUAGCGAGAUAAAAUUACGCAUUUUAGACAUAAGUCCAGCUAUGGCGUCAUCAAACCUUAUGACGUCGUCAGAAGUGUUAAAACAGCGUCCACCCUGUUUUAGCAGCGCUUAUGACGGCCACAAGACUGUCAACAUGGCUGCUGCACAACACCAAGAACUCCACCUCAGAAAUAUUUUCCGCAAUAAAGACGUUCUUAACGAACUCAACGAUGCUGAACUGAUCAAGCGAUACUGUCUAGACAAAGUUUGUCACAAAUCUUGUGAAGGAUGCCUUGUUCAGCAACACCAAAAGAAAGAACCCACUCACCCGCAAGAUAAAGGUCAUCAUUAUACAGAUAUAACUUGCCACGGGGAAAAUGUGACAGUGCAGCAGUGAUGACCUCUGCCCUUCAAAACCAGCAAACAGCAGAGCUGGAUGGACCACAAUAAUAGUGCAACUGGAUUUUAAAGAAUAGCAGCACAACAACUUGUAAUGUCACCACUUCCAGCUGCUUGACAAAAUCCGGGUCACCUGUAUCGAGAUGAACUCUACAACUUGCAUUUCAAAAACAAGUGUGUCAGCCAACUGGCAGCUGCUUCCUGUGCCUGUGGAGCUCUUCCCAUGAUCCCAUGAGGAGACGUCCUCCACAGCUGACCUGAAGGACUGUGCAAUCUCCACUGCUGAUCCGGCAGCACGUGCAGUCUCCUCCCCUGCCUGCCACCACCACCAGCUGCUCAACAGAAUCUGGGUCACCUGUAUCGAGGUGAAUUCUGCAACUUGCAUUUCAAGCAUGCUGGAUAUUCUCCACCUACAUAAACCAGUUUCUGUAAUUGGAUCUUGAAUACAUCCACUUGUCAUGCAUUAUUAUCUCUCAUUACUGUUGAUAAGCAACCUAAUUUAUUUUUCCAUUCCUGCAAUUCUGCCUGAAACCUGCACCUCCUGUUCUGCAUGCACACUUGGCUAGUCACAUGCCAAAGUACUGCUGCCUUUUGAAUGAGGGCAGAAGUGGCUGAGACUAUCUGCACAAGCACUUCUGCCUCUUCAUCUUUCCUUGUUGGGGUGGAUAGAAUGUGCUGAGGCUCUUCUACAAGGAAGAUUUGUCCCUCUGUACCUUAUUCAUCACUGCAAGUAAUGAAUACUAUCAUGAAAUGGGUGUAAAAAGAGACCAAAUAAUAUGAUGAUGUUGAUUUGACAUUAUAUUCAAAUACAAUAUCUGAUAAUAAUUUGAUGAUGAUUUGACAUUUAGGUAUAUGGUAUGUAAACUGAACUUAAAUUAAUUCCACCAGUUAAGUAAUAUCCAUCAUAGAUUCUUUCAAAGUGAUGUUUCUCGUGCUAUGUAACAUGCUGGUUUAUGUAACAUGUUUUUAGCUGUCAUGUUACAAUAACUACACGUUUAUAACAAUUAAUGACAAGCACAAAAUAAAGACUUUACUUCAGUU